rnacentral:rRNA from 1 species
AACGAACGCUUGCGGCGCGCCUAAUACAUGCAAGUCGAACGAGGUAGCAAUACCUAGUGGCGCACGGGUGAGUAACGCGUGAAUAAUCUGCCAUCCAGUGGGGGAUAACUAACCGAAAGGUUAGCUAAUACCGCAUGAGGCCACAGUUUCCGAGGAAACAGGGGUUAAAGAUUUAUCGCUGGAUGAUGAGUUUGCGUGGGAUUAGCUAGUUGGUGGGGUAACGGCCUACCAAGGCAACGAUCUCUAACUGGUCUGAGAGGAUGACCAGUCACACUGGAACUGAGACACGGUCCAGACUCCUACGGGAGGCAGCAGUAGGGAAUAUUGCGCAAUGGGGGAAACCCUGACGCAGCGACGCCGCGUGAGUGAUGAAGGCUUUAGGGUCGUAAAGCUCUGUUGAAUGGGAAGAAACAAAUGACGGUACCAUUCGAGAAAGGUCCGGCUAACUUCGUGCCAGCCGCCGCGGUAAGAC